rnacentral:rRNA from 1 species
CCUACGGGAGGCAGCAGUGAGGAAUAUUGGUCAAUGGACGAGAGUCUGAACCAGCCAAGUAGCGUGAAGGAUGACUGCCCUAUGGGUUGUAAACUUCUUUUAUAUGGGAAUAAAAUGUUCCACGUGUGGGAUUUUGUAUGUACCAUAUGAAUAAGGAUCGGCUAACUCCGUGCCAGCAGCCGCGGUAAUACGGAGGAUCCGAGCGUUAUCCGGAUUUAUUGGGGUUAAAGGGAGCGUAGGUGGAUUGUUAAGUCAGUUGUGAAAGUUUGCGGCUCAACCGUAAAAUUGCAGUUGAAACUGGCAGUCUUGAGUACAGUAGAGGUGGGCGGAAUUCGUGGUGUAGCGGUGAAAUGCUUAGAUAUCACGAAGAACUCCGAUUGCGAAGGCAGCCUACUGGACUGCAACUGACACUGAGGCUCGAAAGUGCGGGUAUCAAACAGGAUUAGAUACCCUUGUAGUC